GCCCAGGUCCCGCUCUCCAGCCGCGCUCCUUUCUAACCAUCUGCGGCUUCCGCGCUCUCUUUCUGCGCCUGCGCUGUAGCUUUCUGCGUCGCUUUCGCUACCUCGUUUUGAGCCCUAUGCUAAUUAGCCCCCUUUAGGGGCGGAGCCAGUUUGACCCCCUCCCUUCCCUUGUCCACGCGACGGGCGUUGUACAGCGCGAUGCCGGUUUACGACAGUGUUUUUUCUACCUUUACGGCUGUCAUUAGCAACUGAACCGACAGGGGCCUGCUGGCUCGGGACUGCUGCGGUUAGGUGGUGCCCGGGCUAUGAGGUGGCAGCCCUGGGAAGAGGUCCAGAAAGGAUUUGGGGAGCCCACACACAAGGGUGUGAAGAGCUGAAUGGCCUUCAGACCUCAGAAGGGGAGUGGCAUUUGAUUCAUCAAAAGAAGGAAAACUGA
rnacentral:lncRNA from 1 species